rnacentral:lncRNA from 1 species
CAUUCCCAGGAGGGCCCAGGAGGUAUAAAACCCCAUUGAGAAUGGCAAAGAAAGUUUCCCAAAGAAUCUCAUGGAAUGAUUAUUCCCCCAUUCCUAUUUCCCCUCCUCUCCUCUCCCCACAGCACUCACAAAAGGCCUGUGGUCUGAUACCCCUACGGCAAGAGCAGUUUCCACUGUGAGGUCUGAGGAAUAAGAUAGGGUCACUGACAAGAAAUGAGUCACUAAUUCAGAAACCAGGGGUGUUAGGAACAGUGGUGAAUGGGGUGGUUCAUGUGCAGUUGACCACAGGGGUCUUGAACCUUGUGAAAGUGCCAACGUCUGGUUUUAUUGGCUGCCGGCUGCACGGUGUGGUGAUGGGCCUGCUGGACGAAAGACUCAGGAAAGGGCAGUUGCUGUGAGGAUCAGUGGAGUUGAUGGACAUUCAGGCACUUUGUAAAUGAAAAGGUCAUAUAGCACUGAGGGCCAUAGGUCCUGGCCUGGGUGCUCGUCGGAGUAGGACCUCUUAUGAGUCGUGGCAUCUCUCUGCUUUGUUUUCCAAUCUAAAAUCCUGGCCACCCCCGCCCCCCACCUCUCCUUGCAGAUUGGCUGAAGGGAGUCAGUGAGGGAGCAGACAGGAACACAUUUUUCCUCUGCUCUAUCCUGCAAACACAAACUCUGUGCAGAUGAGGCGUCUGUUACAGAAACUGUUAAGGCUCGUCAAACAAAUCAAGCUAUAUACGAUGUGGCACCUUCCUCCCUGGGCGAGCAGGUGCAGUGUCCAGCAUCUCUGGCCCCCGUGGCCUCCCAGAAGGAAGGGAGGGAGCCUUGGCAGUGUGAGCAGAAGAGCAGGCCAUGCCAUGCUUUGGGGAAGAGAAAAGGGAAAGACAUGUGUGUCUGGUGUUUGUUCCCUGCCAACACUUCCUGCUCCUUUGUUCUUCUUUGUCCAGUCAUUGUUAUUUUUAAAAAAAAUUAGACAAAAAUAACUAUAUUAUGUUUUCUAAAAAUUAUGGAUUCUAAGCAUUGCUGCUGAAAAAUUAUCAGAAUUGAUAUUGAUUGAGCUCAUAAUCUGUGCCAGGUACUGGGCUAAGCACUUUACAUGCACGAGCAACAAGAGAAGGAAGGAACUAUUGCUAUGCCCAUUUUACAGAUGAGCAAAGUGUGGCUGAGAAAAGUUAGGUAAUUUGCUCAAGACAUAAACUAGUAUUGUAGGGGAUGGAAUGGAGGCUUUGCUUUAAAGUCUCUGUCCUCAUCAAAAUACCUUAAUGCCUUUCCAUAGGUAGAAAUACAGGCUGCUAUAAAGAAGAAAGCAAUAAAAGCAUUCAUAAUCCUGUCCACCAAAUAAAACUGUCGUUAAUAUUUUGGCAUAUAACCUUCUGGAUAUUUUCUAGGCUAUUUUACAUUUUUUUUGCAAUUUUUUUCAAUAAUGUCCUAUGGACAUCUUUCCAUAUCAAUAAAUAUCAUUCCAAAGAAUGAAUUUUUAAAUAAAUUACUGCAUACUGUUUAAUUAUAUGAAUGCACCAUAAUUUUUUAAACCAAUCUCUAUUUCUUGGGUAUUGCCAGUAUUUUGCUUUCAUAAACAAUGCUGUGGUGAACAUCCUUGUUAAUGCAUCUUUGAACACUUGUCCAACAUACUCCACAGCAUACAUUGCUAGAAGUGGAAUUGAAGAGUUAAAGUAGCUGUAAACAUUUUAAACAUGGCACAUAUUGACAGAUUACCUUCCAGAGGGGAUACACGGAUUCACAUUCCCACUGCUAGGAUUCUUUCUGAGAUAAGUUUGAGAAGUACCAUUUAGAAUAAUCUCUCUCUUUUUUUUUCCUGUCACUCACUAGUACUCACUUUGAUGUCUGUCCC